CAAAAUAGCCCUGCAAUGCCGGCCACAUAACCUGGAGGCCAUGGAAAUGGACAUCACAGACAAUAAACUGGAGAGCUGGAUGAUUGAUAUCAAUGAGUGGUCAGAAGCAACAACAUCCCCAAAUGAUGCUGAUGCUGCUGCUGGAACCAGCCAAAUUGAGGAGCUUGUGGCAAGUGUUAGGCGAAGGUCCCUUUGUCUAUAUAAAGAUAAUGACUGAUGCACAGGACGUGCCCGGAUCCACCAAAAGAUCAGGGAGG